CAUUAACGAGCAAGGGGCGAAAGCCCCGAACCUCCAACCCUCUGUCGUUAUAACUACCAACGUUGCUUUGGCGGGACCGCGAGGGUCCUCCCGAGCGCGCCAGUCUCCGGACAGGCGAGCGCCCGCCAGAGUCCAACCAAACUCUUGUUUUCAAACCAGCCGUCUGAGUACAAAUUUUUAAUAUAAUUAAAACUUUCAACAACGGAUCUCUUGGUUCUCGCAUCGAUGAAGAACGCAGCGAAAUGCGAUAAGUAAUGUGAAUUGCAGAAUUCAGUGAAUCAUCGAAUCUUUGAACGCACAUUGCGCCCCUUGGUAUUCCGAGGGGCAUGCCUGUUCGAGCGUCAUUACAACACUCAAGCACUGCUUGGUAUUGGGCACCCCGUCCGCCGCAAGGCGGGCGUGCCUCGAAGACCUCGGCGGGGUUUCUCCAACUUCGGGCGUAGUAGAGUUAAAUCAAAACGUCUCAUAAGCUUUGGGGGGGCCUCCAUGCCGUUAAACACCCUUUUAUAUUCAUGUUGACC
rnacentral:misc_RNA from 1 species